AUCACCUAACUUUCUAUUUGACUCCCAAAGUCAUUCUAGCGAUUGUACUGGGCAUCGGCUUCCACACGUUGGAGCUCGAACGCACGCAUGUGCAGACUAACUGAAUCCUGAAUGAUGCUCGAACACUUCCACAUGCAAACUGAAUGCGGGGCUAGGCGUAAGUGUUCAACAGAGGAGGAGGCGCGCGUGGGCAGGGUGGGAGGCGACGCCGAGACGGAUGACUGGAUGAGCUGCGAGUGGUGUUGCCGCAGCACGGCGAUGGAGGUCAGCAGGAUGGUGGUCGGGGCGGAGCGAACAUGUUUCCAGCAGAGGACCCAUGGGGCGUCUCAUUCUCAUCUGGAGCAUGCAGAGCAGCGCCGUCACCGGCGAUAAAGGCCCAAUUCGCGGUGACCACUAGCUCGCCGCUGCCAACCACGCCCACACAUGUUUUAUCUCUAGCCGGCUUCACAUACAGCCAAGAGGCCAAGACCGUAGAAAAGCCAAGGCCAUCGAUCGAUAAUGCCGCUUCUCCCUACGCAGUUCCGUCUCCUCCCGCUGUCCCUCCCCGACGCCCGCCAGCGCCGCGGUAUUCUCCCGCCGGCGGCGGCAGCGUCCUUGUUGCCAUCGUGGUCUUGUUCGCCGCCAUUGUCUCGGCUUCGAUCACGGGGGCGGCAGGCUAAAACGAGGCUGCGAGUCGUCUCUCCCGAGACCUCCAGCACCGCUGCCACCGACGCUGCGACGACGACCGCCGGCGCGCCGCCAGAUAACAGCAAGUGGGCAGAGUUCGCGACGCGAGUGUCCGGCGAGUGGGACGGCUUCGGCGCGGACUUCACGGCGUCCGGCGACCCCGUGGAGCUGCCGGAGAAGGUGGUCCCGGAGGCGUACCGGGAGUGGGGCGUGCAGGUGGUGGACUGGCAGACGCAGUGCCCCACGCUGGCGGACCCGGGCGCGCCGUGCGCGCUGCACUACCGCCUGGUCCGCCUGCUCCCCACGGUGGGGUGCGAGGCCGACGCCGCCACCGUGCACACCUCCCACCAGCGCCACGCCUCCUCCGCCGCCGCCUUCGCGUACGCCGCCGCGGGGUCCUACGUCGCCGCGUGGCCCAGGGGCCCCGCGCUCGUGCUCGAGGUGGAGCACUGCGUCGUGCGCCCCGACGCGCCCGCCGAGGAGGCCGGCAGGGUCCGGGUGGUGCAGACCGUGGCGCUGGGCAGGGAGGCGCGUCUCCGCGGGCUCAAGGUCUUCGCCGAGCAGUGGUACGGCCCGUUCCGCGACGGCGAGCAGCUCGGCGGCUGCGCCGUCGGGGAGACCCCGUUCGCGGCCGGGGAGAAGCUCGACGUCGCCGAGGUGAUCGGGCAGUGGGAGACCACGGACGCCGCCGCCGCGAGGUUCUCCGGCGACCUGGACCCCGAGACGGGAAAGUUCGCGGAGCUGUCGCCGGACCAGCCGAGGAAGCUGGUGAGGGACGCGGAGGGCGUCGUGACGCUGCCGAAGCAGCUGUGGAGCGCGUUCAAGGAGCUCGGCGACGGCGAGUUCCUGUGCGAGGUCGGCUGGGCUCUGGGCGGCGGCGGCGCCGUCACGUCGCGCUGCGUUCUGUCCAAGGACGGAGACGUCAAGGAGAUCGCUGCCGCCCACGAGCGCCGGGUGUCGGAGACCACUUGACUUCGGGGCCAAUUGGCCAUACCCGAUCCAACAGAGAACAAAACGCGCUGCUCGAUGAGCCAACUCAAUUUGGUAUCUUCGAAUCGAAGGUCGUGUGGAGAAACGAUGAACACGAGAAGAGAACAAAAUCUGUACAUGGCGAGCGCAUCAGUGACAGUGUACUUGAGGUGCAUCUCUCAAGGUUACAUUCAGAGUGGUUUCCAUUUGUUGCCACCCAAGUCCAACUUUGCUGCCUUGCAUCAUGGCUACGAAUUCGGCGUAGUCAAUCUGACCGUCCUGAAAAGCAGAUGCAAGCAAGGAACAUCAGUGCAUGCAUUAGUUAAACAGCACAAUAAAACUCGGCAUAGGCACUGUUACUACCUGGUAGUCCCAACAACUGUAUCGUGGUUUUCACCAUAUAUUUAACUCUGUAACGUACUCCUAUUUACUUUCUCCUACCCUUUAUUUAUGGUUGCUGAAAUCGACAGCUGUGGGUUAGGUGUGACUAUGUGGUUGAUGCCCAGACACCAAAGGUGUUUAUAUAUUCUAUAAGUAAAAUGUCAUUCAGGAUAA